AAUGCUGACAUAAGUAACGAUAAAGCGGGUGAAAAGCCCGCUCGCCGGAAGACCAAGGGUUCCUGUCCAACGUUAAUCGGGGCAGGGUGAGUCGACCCCUAAGGCGAGGCCGAAAGGCGUAGUCGAUGGGAAACGGGUUAAUAUUCCCGUACUUGGUGUUACUGCGAAGGGGGGACGGAGAAGGCUAUGUUGGCCGGGCGACGGUUGUCCCGGUUUAAGCGUGUAGGUGUGUGUUCCAGGUAAAUCCGGUUCACUUUAACACUGAGGCGUGACGACGAGGCACUACGG
rnacentral:rRNA from 1 species